CUCCAGCGAACAGAGAUUACAUAGAUAUAUAUAGAGAUGAGAGGAAGCAAGCAAGAAAAUGCGGUUACCUCUGAGGCUGCAGAGAAGCUGUUAAGUGCUGGAGAUUUAAAGCUUCAUUCGCCUUUGUGCUAACUUCAAGCUGUUCUAAGCCCAGACGGCAAAACUCAGAGCAGCUGCGAGAGAAAGGAGAUUACUCCCUCUGGAGCCCUGGGUCUGAUUUAGAGGGUGCUUAGAGGAGGCAACUGGAAGGAAGGAGUAGAACACUCAGAGUUUUAUUUCUGGGGAAACUUUCUCUGCUGAAGAGAAGGCUAAGGACAGAAAAGAAACACUCAUCAGGCGUUUGUCACUGAUGCAAUGGAUGAGAUGAGAAUUGGGGCCUCAGUUAGGGCAGGAAAAAGUCAGGUUUCAUCUAAAGAAGAGCUCACCUACAAGAGUCAUUGCAUAGUGCCGGGACAGUCAGAAGGUAGGGUGGAAUAAUUGCCUCAUAAGAUUUGGAGAUUCACCUUUCCAGGAGCAAGAGGCUGGACCCAAUCACCUCAUAAGGUUGUUUCCCACUGAGUUUUAUUGGUCUUAAGAGCCUGUGGUUGGGGUACCCCGGAGCAAGGCAAAUUAGGUUUCCAAAUAGGACUGACUUGGUGGGGGUCACAGUAAGGAGGCCAGCUACAGGGUUGAGGGGACUUACCUGCCUAGCUCCCCUACUGGAGCAAGCAGAAAUAACUUUGAGGAGGCUGUAGUAGGAAAAGCCUGAAUCUGGGAAAGAAGCAGCAGAGAAAAGACUUUUUAAAGUGGCCGUUGUGAAGGAACGUGGAAGCUGAGGAAUAGCAAGAAUGAAGAGAGCUCCCCAUCCACCGGGAAACCCAGAGAAUUUCAGAGAUCUGAAACUGAGUAAUCUCUCACACAAGGGCAAUUGGGGCUGAGCCUGGGCCUGACCCUGAAUCCCAAGGGCAGGCUUUGGGAAUCUGAGGGGCAGCAGCUAACUGCCGGUGAGGAGGUGCUGUGUUCAUCCCUCAGUCAGGGGCAGAAGCUUUAUGUAACGAAGGGUUCUCUGAGCCAGCUCUGCAGCUGGUUAGGGCUCAGGCUUAAGGAUCUACAGGUAGAGGGUUGCCUUUUUUUCCUUCCAAAGGUAUGUGAUUGGGUAAAAGAGACAAUGCUACAUUUUCCUCAAAGAAAUAUCUGGCCUACAGAUCAAGAUGGACCUUCCAUCCUGGAAUGGAACUGCUACAGGGAACGACUGGGCAUGCCUCACCUCCUGGAGCCAUGCUGGUGGCCUGCAUGUAUCAUGGGAAUUUCUCAGAAUGGCCUAGCCUUGGCAACGGGUUGAGACAGGGGAGUUUGAAGCUUGUUUUAGGAUUCUCCCUUCACCAAAAACCUUUCUAGCCACCCACCCUGUGCUCCAUUCUUCUGGGACUUCUCUAUCAGUAUUUUGCCUUCCCAACUAAGGGGUGGUUGAGAGUCAAUGAAAAAAUAUUUAUUGAGCCUACUAUUUGUCCAGCAAGUAUAAAUAGUCCAUUCAUGUUACUCCUUAUGCCUCGGCUGCCAGAAAAACAAAGGUCAAAUUUAUUGCUAAAAUAGAAGCAGAACAUUCUCCAUGUCUGAAACCAUCAUUCCUUCUGGUUCUUUCAGAUGGAUUCCAUUUAAACUGAUCCCAGACUGUAUCCUUCUUUAGAGGCACCUUGAAUGAUAUCAAAAAAGGAGGCUGGAGGCAUAAAGAAGAUAAGCGUCUGUCCAAGGUCACCGAGCAAGUUAGGGGCACACGGGAAGAGGAUUAGACCCCCUGAUUUGUAAUCUUGUUCUCCUUCCACUGCACUUCACUUUUUGAAACCGAUUGUCAAUGCGCUAUAGCAGGCUUAAGUCCAAAUUAACGGAAUCUUCAAUGGAUAGAAUUCUUCAGGUAUUAUCACUAUUACUCAUUUACUAGAUUUUUACAGCUAUCUUUCUAAAAACUUCAAGACACAUUAUACAUAGACAUUGAGUCUUGUCAUGAAGGGUAAAGUAGAAGGCAAGGAAAUUAUGUGAAAAAAGAGGGUAGUAGGAAAACACUAAUUUGUGCUUUUAUUUGACCAGUGUUUAUAGCUGGCUUACUCUACUUUAGCACACAAUGCUGGCUGCCGAAGGAGAUAUAAGAAAAACAUACACCAGCAUUUGACUGUGUUAAAAAACAAAAUUCAGCUGAGUAAAUUUGAAGAUCUAAUU
ensembl:lncRNA